rnacentral:tRNA from 1 species
GGCCGCCUGGCGAAAUGGCAUCGCGUCUGACUACGACCUAGUUGUAAUCAGGAGAUUGCAGGUUCGACCCCUGCGGUGGUCA